rnacentral:rRNA from 1 species
CCAGAGAAUUUAGCAGAGAUGCUUUAGUGCCUUCGGGAACUCUGAGACAGGUGCUGCAUGGCUGUCGUCAGCUCGUGUUGUGAAAUGUUGGGUUAAGUCCCGCAACGAGCGCAACCCUUAUCCUUUGUUGCCAGCACGUAAUGGUGGGAACUCAAAGGAGACUGCCGGUGAUAAACCGGAGGAAGGUGGGGAUGACGUCAAGUCAUCAUGGCCCUUACGAGUAGGGCUACACACGUGCUACAAUGGCGCAUACAAAGAGAAGCGACCUCGCGAGAGCAAGCGGACCUCAUAAAGUGCGUCGUAGUCCGGAUUGGAGUCUGCAACUCGACUCCAUGAAGUCGGAAUCGCUAGUAAUCGUAAAUCAGAAUGUUACGGUGAAUACGUUCCCGGGCCUUGUACACACCGCCCGUCACACCAUGGGAGUGGGUUGCAAAAGAAGUAGAUAGCUUAACCUUCGGGAGGGCGUUUACCACUUUGUGAUUCAUGACUGAGGUGAAGUCGUAACAAGGUAGGCGUAGUGCU